UACAGAGGGUGCGAGCGUUGUCCGGAAUCACUGGGCGUAAAGGGCGCGUAGGCGGCCUGAUAAGUAGAGGGUGAAAUCCUGUGGCUCAACUGCAGGGCUGCCUCCUAGACUGUCGGGCUUGAGCACGGUAGAGGCAGAUGGAAUUCCCGGUGUAGCGGUGGAAUGCGUAGAGAUCGGGAAGAACAUCGGUGGCGAAGGCGGUUCUCUGGGCCUUACCUGACGCUGAGGAGCGAAAGCGUGGGGAGCGAACAGG
rnacentral:rRNA from 1 species